rnacentral:misc_RNA from 1 species
GAAAUGCGAUAAGUAAUGUGAAUUGCAGAAUUCAGUGAAUCAUCGAAUCUUUGAACGCACAUUGCGCCCGCCAGUAUUCUGGCGGGCAUGCCUGUCCGAGCGUCAUUUCACCAUCAAGCCCCCGGGCUUGUGUUGGGGACCUGCGGCUGCCCGCAGGCCCUGAAAACCAGUGGCGGGCUCGCUGUCACACCGAGCGUAGUAGCAAUCACCUCGCUCAGGGCGUGCUGCGGGUUCCGGCCGUUAAACAGCCUUACAAAACCCAAGGUUGACCUCGGAUCAGGUAGGAAGACCCGCUGAACUUAAGC